rnacentral:misc_RNA from 1 species
ACGGAAGAAGGGGAUUACCAGGUAAAACUGCGCAACCUGGUACGUUUCCUGAGUGAAGGGGACAAGGCCAAGAUCUCUCUGAGAUUCCGUGGCCGCGAAAUGGCUCACCAGGAGCUGGGCAUGGAGCUGUUGAAGCGGGUCGAAGCCGACCUCGUGGAAUACGGCGCCGUUGAACAGCAGCCCAAAAUGGAAGGGCGUCAACUGUUGAUGGUCAUCGCACCCAAACGCAAGAAAUAACCUCCAGGGCACGGCAGGCCUUGCGGUUAUCUUUAUCCAUAUGAAUGCGGAGUUUGAACAUGCCAAAGAUGAAAA